rnacentral:rRNA from 2 species
AUAAGACUGGGAUAACUUCGGGAAACCGGAGCUAAUACCGGAUACGUUCUUUUCUCGCAUGAGAGAAUAUGGAAAGACGGUUUACGCUGUCACUUAUAGAUGGGCCCGCGGCGCAUUAGCUAGUUGGUGAGGUAAUGGCUCACCAAGGCGACGAUGCGUAGCCGACCUGAGAGGGUGAUCGGCCACACUGGGACUGAGACACGGCCCAGACUCCUACGGGAGGCAGCAGUAGGGAAUCUUCCGCAAUGGACGAAAGUCUGACGGAGCAACGCCGCGUGAACGAAGAAGGCCUUCGGGUCGUAAAGUUCUGUUGUUAGGGAAGAACAAGUACCAGAGUAACUGCUGGUACCUUUGACGGUACCUAACCAGAAAGCCACGGCUAACUACGUGCCAGCAGCCGCGGUAAUACGUAGGUGGCAAGCGUUGUCCGGAAUUAUUGGGCGUAAAGCGCGCGCAGGUGGUUCCUUAAGUCUGAUGUGAAAGCCCACGGCUCAACCGUGGAGGGUCAUUGGAAACUGGGGAACUUGAGUGCAGAAGAGGAAAGUGGAAUUCCAAGUGUAGCGGUGAAAUGCGUAGAGAUUUGGAGGAACACCAGUGGCGAAGGCGACUUUCUGGUCUGUAACUGACACUGAGGCGCGAAAGCGUGGGGAGCAAACAGGAUUAGAUACCCUGGUAGUCCACGCCGUAAACGAUGAGUGCUAAGUGUUAGAGGGUUUCCGCCCUUUAGUGCUGCAGCUAACGCAUUAAGCACUCCGCCUGGGGAGUACGGCCGCAAGGCUGAAACUCAAAGGAAUUGACGGGGGCCCGCACAAGCGGUGGGAGCAUGUGGUUUAAUUCGAAGCAACGCGAAGAACCUUACCAGGUCUUGACAUCCUCUGACAACCCUAGAGAUAGGGCUUUCCCCUUCGGGGGACAGAGUGACAGGUGGUGCAUGGUUGUCGUCAGCUCGUGUCGUGAGAUGUUGGGUUAAGUCCCGCAACGAGCGCAACCCGUGAUCUUAGUUGCCAGCAUUCAGUUGGGCACUCUAAGGUGACUGCCGGUGACAAACCGGAGGAAGGUGGGGAUGACGUCAAAUCAUCAUGCCCCUUAUGACCUGGGCUACACACGUGCUACAAUGGAUGGUACAAAGGGCUGCAAACCUGCGAAGGUAAGCGAAUCCCAUAAAGCCAUUCUCAGU